rnacentral:snoRNA from 1 species
GCAGUUCACAUGAUGAGCGAGGAAAGCGAGGAUUGGCUGGUGACCGAGGCCACUGUCCCCUGGUAAAACUACACCCAGUCGUGGGCUCUCGCCCCGCCACGCUGAUGCACUGU